rnacentral:tRNA from 3 species
GGCCUGAUGGUCUAGGAGUAUGAUUCUCGCUUAGGGUGCGAGAGGUCCCGGGUUCAAAUCCCGGUCAGGCCC